GUCCCCAUAGCUCAAUUGGAUAGAGCGUUGGCCUCCGAAGCCAAAGGUUAGAGGUUCGACUCCUCUUGGGGACGCCA
rnacentral:tRNA from 1 species